rnacentral:rRNA from 1 species
UACAGAGGGUGCGAGCGUUAAUCGGAAUUACUGGGUGUAAGGGGCGCGUAGGCGGUAAGAUGUGUGUGUUGUGAAAGCCCCGGGCUUAACCUGGAAGUGCAAUGCAAACUAUCUAACUAGAGUAUAUGAGAGGGUGGCGGAAUUUCCGGUGUAGCGGUGAAAUGCGUAGAGAUCGGAAGGAACGUCAAUGGCGAGGUCAGCCACCUGGCAUAAUACUGACGCUGAGGCGCGAAAGCGUGGGGAGCGAACAGG